UUGACCUCAAAUCAGGUGGGACUACCCGCUGAACUUAAGCAUAUCAAUAAGCGGAGGAAAAGAAACUAACAAGGAUUCCCUUAGUAACUGCGAGUGAAGUGGGGAGAGCUCAAAUUUGAAAUCUGGCAGUCUCUGGCUGUCCGAGUUGUAAUCUAGAGAAGUGUUGCCCGCGCUGGACCGUGUACAAGUCUCCUGGGAUGGAGCGUCAUAGAGGGUGAGAAUCCCGUCUCUGACAUGGACUACCAGGGCUUUUGUGGUGCGCUCUCAGAGAGUCGAGUUGUUUGGGAAUGCAGCUCAAAAUGGGUGGUAAAUUCCAUCUAAAGCUAAAUAUUGGCGAGAGACCGAUAGUGAACAGUACCGUGAGGGAAAGAUGAAAAGAACUUGGAAAGAG
rnacentral:rRNA from 1 species